UACGUAGGGAGCAAGCGUUGUCCGGAAUCAUUGGGCGUAAAGCGCGCGUAGGUGGCUUCGUAAGUCCGUUGUGAAAGUCAAAGGCUCAACCUUUGAAAGCCGAUGGAUACUGUGAAGCUAGAGUACGGAAGAGGCGAGUGGAAUUCCUGGUGUAGCGGUGGAAUGCGCAGAUAUCAGGAGGAACACCAGCGGCGAAGGCGGCGCUCUGGGCUGGAACUGACGCUGAGGAGCGAAAGCGUGGGGAGCGAACAGG
rnacentral:rRNA from 1 species